AUGUGACCAGUAAAUGUGUUCUCAGGUCGCCCCUGCAGGACUUCCUCCACCGCACCGCAUGAUCAUGAUCACAGUAUGCAAUCGGCUUGAUGGUUUUGCGAUGCCGAUGAUCAUAGCUUAAUAGCCCAGUCAGCAAGGGAUCGGAGAGAGUUUUUGGUUUUUGUUAAGCUCAACUAUGCAAAUUUGCUAGAAAUGAAGAGCAUGGUUAAACAUAAUUGAUACAUGGCAAGAAAAUAAUGGAAGAGUACCUUCAACCACAUCGUUGGUCAUCUUGGCAUCGGGGUGUACGUAUCUGCGGGCAAUCUUGAAUCAGAUGUCCUAGUUUCCCACACUUGAAGCAUGUGUUGGUUCCCAUCAAGCACUUCCCCAUGUGCAUCUUGCCGCAAGUCUGACACGUGGUAUGUUGUCCGGUAGCCUUCUGUUGUGGCUUAUUGUUCUGUGGUGGCUUCUGACCACUACUCUGGAAGGGCUUCUUGCUUUGGCUUUGCUCGGUAAUCUGUUGCUUACGUUUUUUCUUAUCGAAUUGCUCCUCUCUCGACUGCAGAUACUCCUCUAAGAUCAUUGCCCUGUCCACUAGCGCAUCAAAAUUCCCUAAUUUCAGUGCAAUUAAUCUAUCAAGAAUUUGUGGAUGCAGUCCUCUCUCAAAUUUCUGAGCCUUCCUUGACUCGUCUGGGAUCAGAUAGGGGGCAAAGCGUGAAAGUUCGAUGAACUUUAAUGCAUAUUGAUGUAUAGACAUAUCGCCUUGUCUCAAAUCAGCAAACUCUCGGGCCUUGGCCUCUCUAAAGACCUCAGGGAAGAAUUGGUCCCUGAAUACCUGCUUAAAUCGUGUCCAGGUAAUUGGGGAUUCUUCACCAAGCUCUUGCUUUAUCAGCUUUCUGGUAUAGAUCCACCACACGUCAGCCACAUCAGCCAGAUUGUAUGUGGCAAAUUCAACCAUCUGCUCCUCAGUACAGUUGAU